rnacentral:rRNA from 1 species
AGCCCCCAGCCCUCUUAGUAUUUGGGGUGAUGCCUGCCCAAUGACUACUAGUUAAAUGGCCGCGGUAUCUACAACCGUGCAAAGGUAGCGUAAUCACUUGUUCUUUAAAUAAGGACCAGUAUGAACGGCUAAACGAGAGUCUAACUGUCUCCUGCAAGCAGCCAAUGAAAUUGAUCUUCCUGUGCAAAAGCAGGAAUAGCCCCACCAGACGAGAAGACCCUGUGAAACUUUAAUCGGCUAAGUCAUACACACAACUAAUAAUCACCCAUAAUUACCUGGACCGUGACUUAGCGUUUUUGGUUGGGGUGACCUUGAAACAAAGAAAAACUUUUAAGAAAGCUAUAACAAAGUAGCCAGUAUCCACUGAGACCCCCACACCUCAAAGUACUUAAAUGUAAUUAGAUCCGACAACGUCGAUCCAUGAACCAAGCUACUCCAGGGAUAACAGCGCAAUCCCCUUCAAGAGCCCCUAUCGACAGGGGGGUUUACGACCUCGAUGUUGGAUCAGGACACCCCAUUGGUGUAACCGCUAAUAAUGGUUCGUUUGUUCAACGAUUAAAGUCCU